rnacentral:rRNA from 1 species
AUUGAACGCUGGCGGCAGGCCUAACACAUGCAAGUCGAACGAGUGGCGGACGGGUGAGUAAUGUCUGGGAAACUGCCUGAUGGAGGGGGAUAACUACUGGAAACGGUAGCUAAUACCGCAUACCAUCGGAUGUGCCCAGAUGGGAUUAGCUAGUAGGUGGGGUAAAGGCUCACCUAGGCGACGAUCCCUAGCUGGUCUGAGAGGAUGACCAGCCACGCUGGAACUGAAACACGGUCCGGACUCCUACGGGAGGCAGCAGUGGGGAAUAUUGCACCAUGGUCGCAGGCCUGAUGCAGCCAUGCCGCGUGUGUGAAAAAGUCCGUCGGGUUGUAAGUCACUUUCAGCGAGGAGGCGUUACUCGCAGAAGAAGCACCGGCUAACUCCGUGCCAGCAGCCGCGGUAAUUC